CAAUUCCAACAUUCCCUACGAACCCUUAUCUACAACUGAAUAAUUCUAUGAUACUAUAGAAGAUAUAAUGCUAAAACUAGUAACAAGAAGUUGACCUUCUCCAAAAUGCAAGCAAAAACCUAAUCGGACCAACCAUUGGUUAAUAACGCCUAUGAACUAAAUAUAGUAACUCACUCUAGUAAACCCUAUAAAUAAAAGCGUUAACCUUACACAAGAGCAUUUCUGGAAAGAUUAAAAGAAAAAGAAGGAACUCGGCAAAUCCAGGCCUCGCCUGUUUACCAAAAACAUCGCCUCUUGACUCAUAAGAGGUCCAGCCUGCCCAGUGAUACUAUUAAACGGCCGCGGUACCCUAACCGUGCGAAGGUAGCAUAAUAACUUGUUCUUUAAAUGGGGACUAGCAUGAACGGCAUCACGAGGGUCUCACUGUCUCCUUUUUCUAAUCAGUGAAACUGAUCUCCCCGUGAAGAAGCGGGGAUAAAAAUAUAAGACGAGAAGACCCCAUGGAGCUUUAAACCCAAUAGACACCUCUGACUAAUCUAACCCAAAACACUUCUUAAGUUCUGUCUAUUGGUUUUAGGUUGGGGUGACCACGGAGUACAAUAAAUCCUCCAUGACGUACGGGACUUCCCUCUUAUCCUUGAACCACAUUUCUAAGAAUCAACAAAUUGACGUUUGAUGAUCCAAUAUAUUGAUCAACGGACCAAGUUACCCUGGGGAUAACAGCGCAAUCCAUUUUACCUAUCGCCAAAUGGGUUUACGACCUCGAUGUUGGA
rnacentral:rRNA from 1 species